rnacentral:misc_RNA from 1 species
UACGGAGAAGGCAAGCGUUACCCGGAAUUACUGGGCGUAAAGCGUUGCGUAGGUGGUAUGUUAAGUGGCGUGCGAAAUCUCGGGGCUCAACCCCGAGUUGGUAGGCCAAACUAACAUACUUGAGGUCAGUAGAGGUGAGUGGAAUUGCUUAAGUAGGAGUGAUAUCCGUAGAUAUGAGCAGGAACACCAAUGGCGAAGGCAGCUCACUGGACUGUACCUGACACUGAGGCACGAAAGCGUGGGGAGCGAACCGG